rnacentral:rRNA from 1 species
UACGUACGAGGCGAGCGUUAUCCGGAAUUAUUGGGCGUAAAGCGCGCGCAGGCGGAUUGGUAAGUAGGGCGUGAAAUCUCCCGGCCUAACUGGGAGGGGUCGCCCUAAACUGGCAGUCUUGAGGACAGCAGAGGUAGGUGGAAUUCCUGGUGUAGUGGUGAAAUGCGUAGAGAUCAGGAGGAACACCGGUGGCGAAGGCGGCCUACUGGGCUGUCUCUGACGCUGAGGCGCGAAAGCUCGGGGAGCGAACGGG